ensembl:lncRNA
UGAUGAAAUAGCAGUGCAGUGAGCUGUGCUGAAAUCCCUGUAGAUAGGGAUUUCAUUUGGUGUACCCGUGUCGGGGGGGAAAGCUACUGAGCAGCUGGUUGUUACCGCACUGACCAAAUCAGGUCCCUGGGGCUGUCAUGGAGUUGCUGCUGGAUGGCAUUAGCAGUGCCUGAAAUGACCAAGUAUUUGACUUGCCCUUUCUUAGUGAUGUCUCUCACCACCAGGAAGGGUGUGCUUGGCCCCACUGAGGCAGAGGCAAUUGUCUGCGAUUUUGUUUGAGUGAAGAACUGCAGCUGAAGCAGCUCAGGGUGGAAGAUGACCCCAGCGCUCUAUGGGCCAGCUGCAGUCCGCGGGAUUCUGGAGUGCUCUCAAAGGGGAUGUCCCACUGUGCUGCUUCCAAACUGGACCUCCCUGCUGCACAGCCUGCGGGCAGAGCAACGUUUGGCCACCUUGCUCUGGAAGGAGUUACAGGAGAGUAUGGUAAGGCCUUUGAAUGGUUAAUGUUAACCUCUUAACUCCUCGUACUGCAGUCAGGAUAUUGAGAUAGAGAGGGCGCACUUGCUUAGAUUAACUUAUGUGCAGUUUGUUGCAGCAUUAGUAAAAUAAUUGCUUAUCAUGAGAAAAACAAAGCCUGCAGGGGAGUUGAGAUGUAGAAAAACUUGCAAUACCAAAUUUUGCCUGUUCUGACCAUUCCUGUACAAUGUCCAAGUUGAACACAUAUGCGAUGAAUGUAUUUCUGCUGCUAGAUAGCAUUCAUGACAUUAAUACUCAGCUGAUGUUUAUUUUCAGGCUCUCUAUUUUAAGAAACUGACUCAGAUUUACAUGGGAUGAGUGCUUCUGGUAACAAAGCUCUUAAUGCAGAGCCCAGUUACUGGCAUCGUUGGUGUGUUUUGUUGUAUAAACAACUUGCAUGGCACAACAUCUAAAAACAGCCACUAGAACUGUGAACAAGGCACUGCCAUUUGUGUGUCUGUACAGCUCGAUUUGCAGCUGAGCUCUUCCUCUGUGUCCUGAAGGGCUGCAGUCGCAGCCAAGAAGGAUGUGGAGACCUCUGCUUGCAUGCUUUCAAAAGCUUUGAACUGCUGCAGUUCUGUUCUCGAUGGCUGCUCUGUGCAGUGCUGUCUGGAUGGGCUCCAAGCUGCAGAAAUGGGUGGGGAAUUUAGAGAAGGACUGAUUUAGGAAAAGCACUUACUGCAUGGGAGUCAUGUCAAGAGGAGUCAUGGUACUGCAGCAAUGGUAGAGGAAGUGUGGUCAGGGUAAAGAGAAAUGUGUCAUCACUGCUGGCCCUGUGCUGUUGCCUAUGUGUGAAGGUAGAUGCUGCAGCCCUGGUGGAACAUCUGCCAUGGAAUGAACAUGCAUGCAUGCGGUGACGCCUCGGGGCUGCUGGCUGCCUGUCCCCCAGCAGAGGGAGGCAGCUGUAUGUGGAGUUGCAUGCAUGCAGCUGCUCUGUGCUCUGUCAGCCUUCCUCUAAUUAAAAAAAAAAUCCCUCACCAAGAAGAGUCAUAUCUCUUGCUGCUUAAUGAUAAAGCCUUUGAAUAGCAGAUUUGCUACCUGUAAUUGCUCCAGCUAAUCCUACCAGCAAGUGCUGUCCUUCACCUCAGCUACUAUUCUUAGUUCAGUCCCUGUUGGAUGCUUGACAGAGUAAAUGCUAAGGAAAGAUUAAUUGAACGAGAGAAUUUGAAAGUAUUUCCAUGUAAAGCCAUGCAAGAGAUUGAUGGAGACCCCGCUCUCCUCCUUUUCUGCAGGAGGUAGGUCAAGUAUUGAUGUGCACGUUAAGAAAGUGGAGGAAAUGCUAACGAACGUGGUGACCUGCGGUUAGCCCUCACCCUGCCCACAGGAGUUGACUGAAUGACUUAAGUUUCUUGUGACUCUGCUCCCGUGACCUUAGGACAAAAGUACACCAUUUGUCAUCUUAUGUUUUUUUAAUCUAUUGCUGGAUCUUCAGCUUGCUGUUCUUCAUCUGCUCCAUCAGCUAAUGAGUGGGAUCCCUGUGCCAUCCAGGCUCUGCCCUCAUGUGUGGGUGCAACACCGGGGAGGAGAGACGUGGUUCUGGAGGAGAUCAGAGGCUGUCUGAAGAGGUGUCUGCUGUUAGAGGAGUAACGUGACUGCUGUGUCAUUCAGCUUUCCUGCCUGAGUCUACAGGGAUGGCUUUUGCAUUGCAGGAAAGGAGAAUAUGUCAGAGUGCCUCAACGUUGGGCUUUUGCCUGGCUGGGCUUCAGUGUCUCAGUCCAUCUGGCACAAGUCCUUUCUAGCAGGGCCGUUGCAAACAGUGUUGAUGUGUUGAGGUAUAGCUGCACCCAGUAUUUAUUUCUGCAUGCCUUGUGCUGUGUGGUAUAUGGAAAGCUGGUAUGUGUGUGUCCUUGCUUCAGUUUGUAUCUGAUCAGCAGGCAGAGAGACAACCAGAAGAAAAUCCUGAUUAUGCAGCUGGUACAUGGCUGAGCAAAGCCUCCGGGACACCACAGUGCAUAGGGCACUGCAGAGGGAGCAGUCAGAUGCUUCAGUCAUUACUGGAAACACCCAAUGGCCCAGAUCUUCAUCCCUUGCUCUGUGCUUAAAUUACUGUGGUUCCUUCUGCUAAUUGUUCUGCUUCUGUUUCCUGUUUCUGCAAAACAGGGAAAUGUUCACAGGCUGUUGUGAGGCCUAACCGUCCACCAAAUGCAACAGGAAUUUGCUGGUGUCCUUGGAGACAAGGAGCUUCUGGGAGAUGAUGCUCUUGGUGAUGUCUGAACAGGUUUUUGGCUAAGUAAUGAGGCAGUGCAUGGGUGUAAUAGACCUGAGCUGCUGCAUUCUGAUGGGGGAAGCUAAUUAGCACAUGGUAAGUAGGGGUAACUGCUACAUUAGACCAUCACUGUGAAGUCAUCUUUCUAAUAAAAUAUCUUAAAUAUCAUAUUUCUUCACUCUUACAUGAGACAUGCUUUCAUAAAUGACUACUGAGAUAUCUAUAGAUACAUUCCCUCCACAUUCCCUCCACCAUCUCCACUGAUUGCUUGUCUUUUCAAACCCAGCACAGCUGGCAGUUGCAGUACCAUAUGUGCAGCCAGACGUGGGCAGCCAGGACACAGGGGUUGAGGAGGCUCACUGAGCUCUGCAGGCUCCUGCCUCAUCACAGUCUUUCUGUUCUUGCUGCCAGAGCUCCAGCAGUUCAUUUUGUUACUUUUUCAUUGUAUGUGAGGCAAAAGGAAACCCAGCAUUGGCAGGUGUACUUGUUCUACAUGAUUUUUUUUUCCUCUGCUCUGAAGACAAAGAAGUUGUUUCAUGCUGGCUUUGUUCCAUGGCAGUUAGGUGAAAGUUGUGUUCAUUCUUCACAUAACCUUUUCUUUAAAGAAAGCACUUACUGGCCCCGGAAAUUCAGAGAAGCUGACUGUCACAAGCCUGUUUUUGUCUGCCUAUAACUAAAACCCACGCAGACUUGAAACAUGAAUGUAAAAUUUAAAGCAAAACUGUCUGGGCAUGAUGCUGUCAGGGUGACAGAGCAGCCUGAGUGCUAAAGGCAGAGAGGAACAGCGCUGACCUCUUUGGGGGCUGCCCCUGCCCACUCGCUAACACCUGAUUGCAGGCUCAGUUGUUUGCUUCUUCUAAUGUCAGAUGCUCACUGUUGGAUGUUUCACCUCCUCAUCUGAUUCAUUUUCUCCUCUAGUCUUUUAUGAAUUGGAAGUAGGAAUAAGUUUAUAUGCAGAGGACAUGGGAGUUUAUUCAGACUAUAGGUGCAGCUGUAACUUCCUAUGGGGACAUUUCUUGGGUUGCAAGACUAUUGCUGCUUCCAUGCAGUUUUAGAUCUUGAAAAUCUGAAUUAGCAGUUUUGCAGUCAGAGAAAGGAUGUAGGUCUUUUUAAUCCUGAAUCUGGUUUCUGUAGUGCUAAGCUUUUUCUUUAGCUGGCGUUAUGUGAAAUGGUAUGGAGAAUAGAAGUAUGUGGCAUGGUUUGUUGGAAAGGUUUCUUUAGGCUUGUAGGAAAUUGUAGGAAAUUGAAUAAUAGAAAUGAUCAUUGUGUUACUCCAUGCCUUUUUCUCCCAUGCUAGCUUAGCUUUCUGCUGCAGCACACAGACUGCUUCACUUUGAACAGCUGUCAAGCAUCCCUAACAGAUGCUCUUUGUAGAAGCUGUUACUUAGAAUGAAAGAAUUACUAAAUGUUUCCUCAGCUUAAAGUAGGCUUCAUGUUUGCACUGUUCCAAGGGUAGUGGUGGAGGCUGUGUCUGCAGUGCAUCUGCUGAGUAGCAGUAUAUUCACUGAUGCCAGUCACUUUGCUCUGGAUUGAUGGCUAUACAACUGAAGAGACUUUGUCCCCAUCUCAUUAGUCAUAAUUACCCUUUACAAAGUAUGCAUAUGCACGCAUGUGCACCUGCACCAGCAGACAGCCUAUGGAGAAGUAGCCUGCAAAGGAGCUCAAGGGAGCUGGAUCUGUGUCUGAGCUGUCAAGUCAUUGGGUUGUCCUCCACUGGUAGCUUCUUUUAGGCGUAUGUUCAAGUUCUGGGUGGUUAAUGAGUCCUGGUCUCUAGCCUUCAUCCACUCAAUUGCUACAGGUAAAACUACAGCACUGAGUGAAGUAAUUAUAUGCUGAGACCCCAGCUGUUAUUUCAAGUCCAGCUGGCAGAUGAAAUGUGCCUUCAUGCUCUCAAACAAUGGCAAAUAAAGAGACAUCUGAAUCAGGCUAGCACACCCUCGCUGAGCUGAUACUUGUGUUAACUCCUGAUAAUACAGACUAUGAGCUUGUGCACACAGACAGUUAAUGCAUCUCUGCUGAUGUAUGGUGAGAUAAACGGAGGGCACUUGUUCAAGCAUAUGACACUGCAGUUAGGUGCCUUUCCCAUUCACUUGUUGCUGAAGUUUCCUGACUUAGACUCCAAUCAAGAUAUUUCCACGAAGGCAGAUGUAAAACAGGUUACUGUGGUUUGUCAGGUUUGUAUGAAGACCUUGAGCUGUGUUGCAGCCAUCUCACGCUUAGCUUCUGGGAAGUGCUCAUGAGACAAUGCCAAAGGGCUUGUUGAGUAGGCAUGAAUUCUUUAUAUAAUAAAUACAGCAGUGAACACAAUAAAUGCUGUUGUACAUGCAGUAUUUAUGUCCAUUACCAGGCCAAUGCUGCAUUUAAGGCAAAUGGUUUCUAUGUUUGUUUGCAGAGUCCUGCUGUGCUUACCUGCUCUUCUGAAGAAGACCUGGAAAUGUAUUUUGGGGAAAGCCUGAAUUCUUUACAUGUUUACCAAGGACUUUGUUGUGUAUGUUAAAGGAAUGUGCGGAGAAAUGCAGCAAUCUGAUGGUACUGUUUUGCCCUUGGCAGGUGAAGCAGCACUGUGGUGCAUCAUGUCUUGGAUGCAGGAUGGAGAUGAACAAACUGGCACCCUGUGGAGAGAGAAGAACAAACUUCCCAUGCUUGUCACUCUGGCCAGGAGGACUUAGAAUCCAAGGGAGAAUGGUACAGAUUAAGAGCAGGAGGCCGUGCAGUGCUG